GAUGAACGCUGGCGGCGUGCCUAAUACAUGCAAGUCGAGCGAACGGACGAGAAGCUUGCUUCUCUGAUGUUAGCGGCGGACGGGUGAGUAACACGUGGAUAACCUACCUAUAAGACUGGGAUAACUUCGGGAAACCGGAGCUAAUACCGGAUGAUAUUUUGAACCGCAUGGUUCAAAAGUGAAAGACGGUCUUGCUGUCACUUAUAGAUGGAUCCGCGCUGCAUUAGCUAGUUGGUAAGGUAACGUCUUACCAAGGCAACGAUGCAUAGCCGACCUGAGAGGGUGAUCGGCCACACUGGAACUGAGACACGGUCCAGACUCCUACGGGAGGCAGCAGUAGGGAAUCUUCCGCAAUGGGCGAAAGCCUGACGGAGCAACGCCGCGUGAGUGAUGAAGGUCUUCGGAUCGUAAAACUCUGUUAUUAGGGAAGAACAUAUGUGUAAGUAACUGUGCACAUCUUGACGGUACCUAAUCAGAAAGCCACGGCUAACUACGUG
rnacentral:rRNA from 1 species